rnacentral:tRNA from 1 species
AUUACUUUGGCAGAUUAGUGUAUUGAAUUUAGAAUUCAAGAAUGUAUGGUUAUACAAGUAAUA